AUUGAACGCUGGCGGCAGGCCUAACACAUGCAAGUCGAGCGGAUGAAUGGAGCUUUCUCCUGGAUUCAGCGGCGGACGGGUGAGUAAUGCCUAGGAAUCUGCCUUGUAGUGGGGGAUAACGUCCGGAAACGGGCGCUAAUACCGCAUACGUCCUGAUGGAGAAAGUGGGGGAUCUUCGGACCUCACGCUAUCAGAUGAGCCUAGGUCGGAUUAGCUAGUUGGUUGGGUAAAGGCCUACCAAGGCGACGAUCCGUAACUGGUCUGAGAGGAUGAUCAGUCACACUGGAACUGAGACACGGUCCAGACUCCUACGGGAGGCAGCAGUGGGGAAUAUUGGACAAUGGGCGAAAGCCUGAUGCAGCAAUGCCGCGUGUGUGAAGAAGGUCUUCGGAUUGUAAAGCACUUUAAGUUGGGAGGAAGGGCAGUAAGUUAAUACCUUGCUGUUUUGACGUUACCAACAGAAUAAGCACCGGCUAACUUCGUG
rnacentral:rRNA from 1 species